UACGGAGGGGACUAGCGUUGUCCGGAAUCACUGGGCGUAAAGGGCGCGUAGGUGGCGUCGCAAGUCGAUGGUGAAAGCUCGGCGCUCAACGCCGAGUCGGCCCUUGAUACUGCGAGGCUGGAGCACUGUAGAGGCUAAUGGAAUUCCUGGUGUAGCGGUGAAAUGCGUAGAUAUCAGGAGGAACACCUGUGGCGAAAGCGGCUCACUGGACCAUAACUGACGCUGAUGCACGAAAGCUAGGGGAGCAAACAGG
rnacentral:rRNA from 1 species